rnacentral:tRNA from 1 species
GCUGCGGUAGUUUAGUGGUUAGAAUGGCCGGCUGUGGCCCGGCGGACCCGAGUCCGAUUCUCGGUCGCGGCC